GCCGAGGUGGCGAAAUUGGUAGACGCGCCAGGUUUAGGUCCUGGUGGGAAUUCCCGUGGAGGUUCGAGUCCUCUCCUCGGCACCA
rnacentral:tRNA from 1 species